GAUGAACGCUGGCGGCGUGCCUAAUACAUGCAAGUCGAGCGAACGGACGCGAAGCUUGCUUCUCUGAUGUUAGCGGCGGACGGGUUAGUAACACGUGGAUCACCUCCCUAUAAGACUGGGAUAACUUCGGUAAACCGUAGCUCAUACCGGAUAAUAUUUUGAACCGCAUGGUUCAAAAGUGAAAGACGGUCUUGCUGUCACUUAUAGAUGGAUCCGCGCUGCAUUAGCUAGUUGGGAAGGUAACGGCUUAACAAGGCAACGAUGCAUAGCCGACCUGAGAGGGUGAACGGGCACAACUGAACGGAGAAACGGGCCAGAAUCCUAAGGGAGGGAGCAGGAGGGAAACUUCCGAAAUGGGCGAAAGCCUGAAGGAGGAACGGCGCGGGAGUGAUGAAGGGCUUCGGAUCGUAAAACUCUGUUAGUAGGGAAGAACAUAUGUGUAAGUAACUGUGCACAUCUAGAAGGGACCUAAAAAGAAAGGCACGGCUAAAUAAGGG
rnacentral:rRNA from 1 species